rfam:Bacteroides fluxus YIT 12057 genomic scaffold Scfld8, whole genome shotgun sequence.
ACGAGCCGUGUGCGGUGAAAGUCGCAUGCACGGUUCUUGAAGGGGAAAGCGGGGGAAACCCCGCAGACCUACUUAGAA